AGUUCCUGAACCUGUGGUCAAGAAGCUAUGAGCCCCCUGGUCCCACCACGCCCACUGCCAACGGGCCAAGGUCACCAUGUUGCUCAGCUGCCUUGUACUUGAUGGUCCGGGACCUGUUGUGCUAACGGCUCUGCAGAUGUUUGUGGAAACCUCACAGCAAGUGUAAGAGUUCUGAGCUCAAAGGUGGCCAAGGAAUGACAGCAGCCACCAGAAACUGGAAGAGGCAAGGAAAGCCCUCUCUCUCGAGCUGUAAAAGGGGACAUGGACCUCCCGACAUCUUGAUUUUGGACUCCUGGCCUCCAGAACUUCGAGAAAAUAAAUUUCUGCUGUUUUAA